rnacentral:ncRNA from 1 species
CAAAAGCUUGGUCCUGACUUUACUAUUAGCUUUGAUUGACCUUAUACAUGCGAGUCUCUGCACCCCUGUGAGAAUGCCCUUCCAUUCCCCGCCCGGGAAAAAGGAGCCGGCAUCAGGCACAACCCUGUGUUAGCCCACAACGCCUUGCUUAGCCACACCCCCAAGGGAACCCAGCAGUAAUAAACAUUAAGCCAUAAGUGUAAACUUGACUUAGUUAAUAUCAAGAGGGCCGGUUAAACUCGUGCCAGCCACCGCGGUUAUACGAGGGGCCCAAGUUAAUAGAAGCCGGCGUAAAGCGUGGUUAAUAAAUAGUACACUAAAGCCGAACACCUUCAAAGCUGUUAUACGCACCCGAAGGCAGGAAGACCUCUAACGAAAGUGGCUUUAAAAAUAUGAACCCACGAAAGCUAGGACACAAACUGGGAUUAGAUACCCCACUAUGCCUAGCCAUAAACAAAGAUGACCUAUUACACAUCAUUCGCCAGGGGACAACGAGCCCCAGCUUGAAACCCAAAGGACUUGGCGGUGCUUUAGACCCCCCUAGAGGAGCCUGUUCUAGAAUCGAUGCUCCCCGUUCAACCUCACCCCCUCUUGUUUUUCCCGCCUAUAUACCGCCGUCGUCAGCUUACCCUGUGAAGGACUAAUAGUAAGCAAAAUUGGCAAAGCCCAAAACGUCAGGUCAAGGUGUAGCAUACGAGGGGUGGAAGAAAUGGGCUACAUUUGCUGACUCAGCAAAUACGGACGCUGCACUGAAAAAGCAGCUAAAGGAGGAUUUAGCAGUAAGAGGAGGAAUAGAGAGCCCCUCUGAAAACGGCCCUGAAGCGCGCACACACCGCCCGUCACUCUCCCCAAUAAACCAAACUAAAUAGCUAAUGACACACCAUAUACUAAGGGGAGGCAAGUCGUAACAUGGUAAGUAUACCGGAAGGUGUACUUGGAAAACCCC